rnacentral:rRNA from 1 species
GCAUAUCAAUAAGCGGAGGAAAAGAAAAUAACAAUGAUUCCCCCUAGUAACUGCGAGUGAAGAGGGACAAAGCUCAAAUUUUAAAUCUGUCGGGUUCUACCUGACCGAGUUGUGAUUUGAAGAGGCGUUUUCUGUGUUUCUGAUCAGUCCAAGUCCUUUGGGAUAAGGCAUCACGGAGGGUGAGAAUCCCGUUCGGUUGAUCAGAUUCGCUUUACGAUACGCUUUCAAAGAGUCAAGUUGUUUGGGAUUGCAGCUUAAAAUGGGAGGUAAAUUUCUCCUAAGGCUAAAUAACGGCGAGAGACCGAUAGCGAACAAGUACCGUGAGGGAAAGAUGAAAAGAACUUUGAAAAGAGAGUUAAAUAGUACGUGAAAUUGUUGAAAGGGAAACGAUUGAAGCCAGUCGUACCUGCGGGUAAUCAGCCUUUUGGGCAUGAUUCUGUGGAGUGUGAGGAGUUAAACGCCUUCAUGCCUGCAUAUUCGUGUACUUUGGGUGUACUUGCCUGUGUGGUUAGUUAACAUCAAUUUUGGUUAUCAUAAAAUGGCUGGAGGAAUGUAGCUUCGAUUUCGAUUGAAGUGUUAUAGCCUUCGGCAGAUGUGAUGAUCGGAAUUGAGGAUUGCAACGGAUACCUUUCGGGGCUACCUGUCUGAUCUCUGAUCGUUGCUCUGGUGCCGAAAGCGUGCUUACGGUUAUCAGAGUCGAUGGUCAAUAGGUUAGAACGGGCUAAAUUCGUUAAGGAUGUUGACGUA